AACACCUAGCAGCAGCAGUAUAAAACAAGGAAAAAAAAAAAACACUAAAGUGAGCAAAAGUUGUACAUGAAACUAAAGUUAAAACUAAUAUUAAAAGUCCAUGCACAUAGGCCAAGAUCUGCUUCUGCAUCUCCUAAGUUGUUACACAGCCCACAAGGAUGCAGAAACCUUAAUAGCCCAGACAGUGCAAAUAUAGGUAGAGUACAAUUUAAAAACAAUAUUAUAUAUAAAAAUGUGUUAAAAGUUUAAGCACAAGAGUAAAGAAGUUCUACCUAGGUACUUCUGUGGUUCUAAUCACUGUGGCAUUUGAGGAAAUGGAGGUCAUAAAUACUGUAAUACCUCAAACAUUAAUGAAUUUAUCCUCCCAAAGUCCUUGUGAGAUAGGAAAGAAUUAUCUCCACUUUACAGGCAAGGAAUUGAGGAAGAAAGAUUAGGUGCUCAAUCCAACAUCCACUGGAAGUCUGUUGCAGAUCAGGGAACUUUGUCUACCAAAUUUCAGCCCAACAAUUUAACCAGGAGGCCAUCCUUCAAAAGUUAAACUUUUCCCUACCACUCAACACUCAUUUUACAGUACAGUGAGAGUAAAUACUGCUAUUCAGGAAUGCAUAGCUGUAGUGGAUAGCUUACUUUUGAAUUCCCUGACUAUUUAUAUAGUUAUCUCCACUAACUAAAACUAAG